rnacentral:snRNA from 1 species
UUGCUUCGAUGUCUAUCU